UCCGGUUUGAACUCAGAUCAUGUGCGAAAAAGAGGUCGAACAGACCUUUUAUUCCUAAUUUCUGCUUUAGGAAGAAUUCGCAAUUCAACAUCGAGGUCGCAAACAAUUAUUUUAAUAUGGGCUUUAAUAAUUAUUACGCUGUUAUCCCUAGAGUACCUUUUUCACCUAGUUUUAUUAAGAUCAGUUUAGUUCAAAAUACUUUCAUUUUUAUUUACCCCAAAUAAAUUUUUUAGAUUAAUUUAAAAAAAUAAAGGUUCAUAGGUCCUUCUCGUCAAAUCU
rnacentral:rRNA from 1 species